rnacentral:tmRNA from 1 species
GGGGAUGUAAAGGUUUCGACGGGGAUACUGAUAAGCUGUAAGCGAGCAAGUGCGCCGGUCACUUUAAAAAACAGGCAUUUAAAUUUAAACGCAAAAGAUAAUCAAACAACUGGUUAUCGUAUGGCGUUAGCUGCUUAAGCAGUUCCAUAUACGAUAAUCAACGCAGCUCAAUAUAGCUGCACGUCCCCUUGGGUUCACCUGUUGGCCUAAGGCUGACGUUCAUGAAAGCAGGGAUCUGUCUUUGGGAAUUGUUCCGGCCCAUUGACAAUUCAGGAACUGGCCGAAGAGAGCGGUGCUGCCGAGCACUUUUUUUGGCGAGAUUAAUUCGGCAGAUACGCUCGUAGAAAGCAGCGGGGACGUAUUUUCGGACGUGGGUUCGACUCCCACCAUCUCCACCA